CCUACGGGGGGCUGCAGUGGGGAAUAUUGGACAAUGGGGGCAACCCUGAUCCAGCCAUGCCGCGUGUGUGAAGAAGGCCCUCGGGUUGUAAAGCACUUUCAGUGAGGAAGAACGCCUGGUGGUUAAUACCCAUCAGGAAAGACAUCACUCACAGAAGAAGCACCGGCUAACUCCGUGCCAGCAGCCGCGGUAAUACGGAGGGUGCGAGCGUUAAUCGGAAUUACUGGGCGUAAAGCGCGCGUAGGUGGCUUGAUAAGCCGGUUGUGAAAGCCCCGGGCUCAACCUGGGAACGGCAUCCGGAACUGUCAAGCUAGAGUGCAGGAGAGGAAGGUAGAAUUCCCGGUGUAGCGGUGAAAUGCGUAGAGAUCGGGAGGAAUACCAGUGGCGAAGGCGGCCUUCUGGACUGACACUGACACUGAGGUGCGAAAGCGUGGGUAGCAAACAGGAUUAGUACCCGAGUAGUC
rnacentral:rRNA from 1 species